UCUAGUAUAAACUGCUUUAUACUGUGAAACUGCGAAUGGCUCAUUAAAUCAGUUAUAGUUUAUUUGAUGGUACUUACUUACUCGGAUACCCGUAGUAAUUCUAGAGCUAAUACGUGCGUACAUCCCGACUUCUGGAAGGGACGUAUUUAUUAGAUAAAAGGCCGACCGGGCUUGCCCGACUCGCGGUGACUCAUGAUAACUUCACGAAUCGCAUGGCCUUGCGCCGGCGAUGUUUCAUUCAAAUUUCUGCCCUAUCAACUUUUGAUGGUAGGAUAGAGGCCUACCAUGGUGGUAACGGGUGACGGAGAAUUAGGGUUCGAUUCCGGAGAGGGAGCCUGAGAAACGGCUACCACAUCCAAGGAAGGCAGCAGGCGCGCAAAUUACCCAAUCCUGAUACAGGGAGGUAGUGACAAUAAAUAACAAUACCGGGCCUUUGGUCUGGUAAUUGGAAUGAGUACAACCUAAACACCUUAACGAGGAUCAAUUGGAGGGCAAGUCUGGUGCCAGCAGCCGCGGUAAUUCCAGCUCCAAUAGCGUAUAUUUAAGUUGCUGCAGUUAAAAAGCUCGUAGUUGGAUUUCGGGUGGGAAUGGCCGGUCCGCCGUUUCGGUGUGCACUUGCUACGCCCACCUUGCUGCCGGGGACGUGCUCUUGAGUUUGCGCUCGGGACACGGAGUCGGCGAGGUUACUUUGAGUAAAUUAGAGUGUUCAAAGCAGGCCUACGCUCUGAAUACAUUAGCAUGGAAUAACACGAUAGGACUCUGGCCUAUCUUGUUGGUCUGUAGGACCGGAGUAAUGAUUAAGAGGGACAGUCGGGGGCAUUCGUAUUUCAUUGUCAG
rnacentral:rRNA from 1 species